UACGAAGGGGGGCUAGCGUUGCUCGGAAUCACUGGGCGUAAAGCGCACGUAGGCGGAUCGUUAAGUCAGGGGGUGAAAUCCUGGAGCUCAACUCCAGAACUGCCUUUGAUACUGGCGAUCUUGAGUUCGAGAGAGGUGAGUGGAACUGCGAGUGUAGAGGUGAAAUUCGUAGAUAUUCGCAAAGAACACCAGUGGCGAAGGCGGCUCACUGGCUCGAUACUGACGCUGAGGUGCGAAAGCGUGGGGAGCAAACAGG
rnacentral:rRNA from 1 species